UACGUAGGUGGCAAGCGUUGUCCGGGUCUACUGGGUGUAAAGGGCGUGUAGCCGGGCUUACAAGUCAGAUGUGAGAUCCGGGGGCUCAACCCCCGAACUGCAUUUGAAACUGUAGGUCUUGAGUAUCGGAGAGGCAGGCGGAAUUCCUAGUGUAGCGGUGAAAUGCGUAGAUAUCAGGAGGAACACCGGUGGCGAAGGCGGCCUGCUGGACUGCAACUGACGUUGAGGCCCGAAAGCGUGGGGAGCAAACAGG
rnacentral:rRNA from 1 species